rnacentral:rRNA from 1 species
GAUGAACGCUAGCGGCAGGCUUAAUACAUGCAAGUCGAGGGACAGCACAGGUAGCAAUACUGGGUGGUAACCGGCAAACGGGUGCGGAACACGUACACAACCUUCCUUUAAGUGGGGGAUAGCCCAGAGAAAUUUGGAUUAAUACCCCGUAAUAUAGCGAUGUGGCAUCACAUUGCUAUUAUAGCUACGGCGCUUAAUGAUGGGUGUGCGGCUGAUUAGAUAGUUGGCGGGGUAACGGCCCACCAAGUCUACGAUCAGUAGCUGAUGUGAGAGCAUGAUCAGCCACACGGGCACUGAGAAACGGGCCCGACUCCUACGGGAGGCAGCAGUAAGGAAUAUUGGUCAAUGGACGCAAGUCUGAACCAGCCAUGCCGCGUGAAGGAUUAAGGUCCUCUGGAUUGUAAACUUCUUUUAUUUGGGACGAAAAAGGGUCUUUCUAGAUCAGCUGACGGUACCAGAUGAAUAAGCACCGGCUAACUCCGUGCCAGCAGCCGCCGCCGUAA